AUUUUCAGUAAUCAUUCCACGAAUCGAGAAGACUAUAGCAUACAUCACAACUGAAUUAGAUGAACGUGAGAGAGAAGAGUUCUACAGACUGAAGAAGAUCCAGGAGAAGAAGAAGAAGUUGAAGAUAGCUGCAGCUGAGCUUCAGGCACGGAGAAAGAAGGAGAUCGGGCUGGAGAACCAGCGGGCUGCCGACCUGCUGGCCGAUGACCAUGAUGAAGAUCUGCUGUUCACCAACUAGCUGUCGGUGUAGUCACUGUGUUAAUGUGAGACAUGGCCGGGUAGUGAUGAGUGCUACAAGUUUUAAGGAAAUGGAAUGGAAGAUCAAUGAUUUAAGAAUGUUAUUGCAACCUUUUGUUACUAGUUUGUUUUGGUCUUUUACCGUAUGUCAUUUUAGUUUUAUACAAUUGGCGCAAAUUGGAAAUUCUAAAUUGCUGCCAGUUCUAAAGCUAAAUGUAUUAUGAAGUUAAAGGGCAUUUUAUGCUGCAUUUAAAUGUUCCAUUUGACCGAAGUGUUGCUGGACAGUUUGAAAUUUUAAUUCAAUACAAAAUAUAUUUGGAUAACAUUCAAACCAGAGAAAAUGAGUGAAAAUUAAACUGCUACAUAUUUCUGAAAUUAUGACUUUUUCUGACGAAGGGAAAAAAAAAUCAGGAAAAUGAUUGGAAUUGGGAUGAAACAGUGCUUAAGAGAUGCAGGAAUGCAAGAACUUGGAACUGUGACAUAUUUCAUAUUUCCCAUUGCCUGGCGACGAUAUAUUCCAUCAGUUACAGAAACUGUGAUAAAAUGAACACAUUAUCUUUUUUUCUGACUAAAACAUUGUUGAAUAAUAUUCAAGUUAACUUGUCAAGAGUAACUUAGGGUUUACUUGUUUGUUUGUCUUUAUUAUCAUGAUUAUGUUUCCAAAGUAAACAACGUAAACAUAUCCAAACUGCUCUAGUCAUCAGACAACAGUAAUUUGUGGCAACACCAUCCCAGCUACAGCAGCUUGUCCUGUACUAAAUAAACCCAUUUUGCUGUAAGUUCAUGGAUAAUCUCUUCAAUGGUCUUAAAACAAUCUCUGAAGUGAAACUGUUUCUUGUCCUACCUACAUGAAGGAGUGAAUGAAUGCUUGUUACAUGUCCAUGAUGGCAGUAUGAGGUUAAUGUUAGCAUUGUAGCCAAAGUGUGAAAGACGGCACACGAUGAUAUUUAUGUAACCAUGGUAACUGUUAAUUUGUCUGUAUGUAUAUACCAGAGUGGAAUGAUUCAUGUCAACAUGGCUGUGAUGGUGUACAUUUUGUUGAUGUUGUACUCUGAAUAUAAUUUGCAUCAUGUAUUUGUAAGGUGUACAGUACAACCUUGUUAUCUUGGAGCUCCAUCUCUAUAUUUGAAGACUAUCAGCCCUCUAAUUGGCAACGGGGCGGUAGAGUAGCCUUGUGGUUAAAGCGUCAUGCCAAAGACCUGGGUUCUAUUUCCGACAUGGGUAUAAUGUGUGAAGCCUAUUACUGGUGUCCCCCCUCCCCCCAUGAUAUUGCUGGAAUAUUGCUAAAAGCGGUGUAAAACCAUACUCACUCGCUACUAUUUGGCAACCAAAUUCUACGUUUGGUGACCAUGAAUUAUCCUUAAUCGCCACUGUGUCUACCUCAUGUCAGAACAAAUUGAUGACUACCAGGUUUUCUUGGGUGUACUAUGCACCUUCCAUUAUUCAACAGAAACUAAUUCCUGUUACACACUCGUUCAUACACAGAGAAAACAACAAAAGUAGCAAUCAGCUGUGUAUAUUUUUUGUUCAAGUGUCUACCAGUGAAUCAAUCCUGUAAAAUAACUGAGAAGAACUUUAAUGGAAAAAAGUUAAUGCAAAUUUGUGUUGAGGCAGAAUGAUUAUUGACACUGUGGUCUAAUAUCUCCACUCCGCUUACCUUUAACUAUAGAUAGCUCUGGAUGUAUGUGAUGGUCCACAGGACUCUAAGAUAACAAGGCUUCACUGUCGACAGGUUUCAGAUUGAAUGACAUGCAGCUUCACACCAUUAGGUAUUGAACAUUAUGGGUUCAAUGUUAUGUAUAACCAGGGGUAGGUAGUAAGUUUUGGUUGAAGGUGUGUAGGUAAAUAUGGUGAUAAAAUGUCCUCAGUGAUUCUUAAUGGGAUGGCCAGAGUAUUUGCCAAUACUUGAAGCCUGCUCGCCAAAUCAGAUGAACCACUGACUAAUUAUCAUGUCACUCCUGUUUUUCUGUGGGUAUAUUUUGAGAGGGAAAUGUAAAUGAGGAAUUGGAAAGUGAACACAUGAACGUCUCUGUGUUACAUAUUUGCACCGCCAAAAUGUGUCAUAUGUGUGUGUGUGUUGGUAAAACAGAUAUUAUAAAUAUAAUGAAAGAGAAAGGCAGUCAAUUGUCCAUAGUAUAUGUAUAUGGUUCUCAAGAUAUCUUCAUUAUGAAAUCUCUUCAUUUGUCAAUCUCAGUGACAUUGUGUAAAGUAUAAUGUAACUAUCAUUUGCUCAGUUAGCAAUCUAUUGGUAUGGUAUCGAAUGACUGAAUUGUCAAUGGUGUAGUUGUACAUUAAGAGAUCUGUUAAGUAUUUGUUAUUCUACAAUAUUGUUUCAUCCUGUGAAUGUGAUGUGCUUCUCUGUGUCCUGGCAACAGGCCAUCUCAGGAGCUAGUGAUGCUAGUUAUAAAGGCAUGGACUUCAUAGGGUACGUUGUCAGCAUGAUUCAAGCCCGAUGAUCAACCAUUAAUAAAUCAACUAUGGUA